rnacentral:rRNA from 1 species
GCAAGUCGAGGGGUAACAGAAUAGCUUGCUAUUGCUGACGACCGGCGCACGGGUGCGUAACGCGUAUACAAUCUACCUUAUACAGGAGAAUAGCCCUAAGAAAUUGGGAUUAAUGCUCCAUAGUAAUAUGAUAUCGCAUGAUAUUAUGUUUAAAGCUUCGGUGGUAUAAGAUGAGUAUGCGUCCUAUUAGUUAGUUGGUAAGGUAACGGCUUACCAAGACAGCGAUAGGUAGGGGGCCUGAGAGGGUUAUC